GGAGAGGUGGCAGAGUGGUCGAAUGCACGAGUCUUGAAAACUCGAGUCUCCGCAAGGGGACCGUGGGUUCGAAUCCCACCCUCUCCG
rfam:Parcubacteria bacterium GW2011_GWA2_47_21 TX94_C0011, whole genome shotgun sequence.